ACACGUGCCACCUGAUUGUAUUUAAUUGGUUGGUAGUAAGGGUAGUUUAUUUAGGGCGUCCUUGACGCUGAAGAUUUUUCUUUCUAUUUAAUUUAGGGGUUUGUUUGUGAAUAUUGAUGGUUGAGUUAGAUUAGAAGUUUUGUUUUUGUUCUUAGUAAGAUUAGUUAUGUUUUGUUCAUUUCUUUGAUUUUGCA